UUGCUUGGAUGAGUCUGCGACAUGCCUAAUAAGAGACGAGAUGGGCCAGGGCGACGAGAGCGACCGCAUUGUGAUCAACGUGGGAGGGACUAGGCACCAGACUUACCGCAGCACCCUACGCACCCUGCCCGGCACUCGGCUGGCCUGGAUCGCCGAGCCCGAUGCCCACAGCCACUUCGACUAUGACCCCCGCACGGAUGAGUUUUUCUUUGACCGGCACCCGGGCGUCUUCGCCCACAUCCUGAAUUACUACCGCACGGGCAAGCUGCACUGCCCCGCGGACGUGUGCGGGCCCCUGUAUGAGGAGGAGCUGGCCUUCUGGGGCAUCGAUGAGACUGAUGUGGAGCCCUGCUGCUGGAUGACCUACCGGCAGCACCGCGACGCCGAAGAGGCUCUGGACAGCUUUGGUGGGGCGCCCCUGGAUAGCAGUGCCGAGGACGGAGACAUAGAUGGCACCGGAGACUCUGGCGAUGGUGAAGAGGAGCUGGAGAUGACAAAACGCCUAGCACUUAGUGACUCCCCAGAUGGCAGGUCCGGGGGCUUCUGGAGACGGUGGCAGCCCCGCAUCUGGGCGCUCUUUGAGGACCCCUACUCCUCCAGAUAUGCAAGGGUAAGCUCUGCAAUCGGCACCCUCAUCACAACACUCGAACCUCCCUUCAGUCCCGCUUCCUCCUGGCAUCGUCAGGGUUAUCUCCACUGUCACAGCAGAGCAGCCAUCCGUGUGUGUAGCCAUACAAAAAUCAUGCAUGGGCUAUGGGGACUAACACCCUCAAGCAGGCCCCAUGCAUGA